UAAUUUUGAUAUUAUGAAUUAUUUUUUAUUUUUUUAAUUUAAUUAAAAUAAUAUUUAUAUUAAGUAUUGUUUAAAGAAAUAUAUUUAUGAAUUAUAGCGAAAAGUACUGUAAGGGAAUUAUUAAUAUUUUUUUAAAAGUAUAAUUUAUUUAGUACCUUUUGUAUCAGGGUUUAUUAAUUACAUUAUAAUUAUUUUAUUUUUCUCGAAGUUAAAAGAGAUAGAAUUAUAUGUUUUAUUUAUGUGAUAAAAUAAUUUGUCAUUUAAUUUUAGUAAUUAUAUGUUAUUCAGUUUUAAAUAUCUAGUUAUUUAAGAGUUAAAUUUAAUUUAUAAAAUUCAUUAGUUAAAUUAUUAUUUUAUUUAGUUUAAUUUGAUUUUUAAAGUUUAUUAGGGAUUAGCUUAAUGGUACUUAUAUAAUAUAAAAAUUUAAAUUAAUUAUAUUGUAGGUUUAGAAAUUACCAUCCCUUAUUUUGUUAUAAUUAAAUUUUUAAUUUUUUUUAUUUAAAAUAUAUUUAUAUAUUUAUUAAAUAGUGCUCUGCUAUUAUACAAGAGUAGUUAUAAUGAUAGAAUUAGUAGAAUAUUAAUUUAAAUUUAGGAACUAGGCAAAUUUUACUUUCGCCUGUUUAACAAAAACAUGUCUUAUAGAUUUUAAUUUUAAGUCUGGCCUGCUCAAUGAAUGGUUUUAAAUUGCUAUAGUAUUUUAACUAUACAAAGGUAGCAUAAUAAUUUGCUUUUUAAUUGAAAGCUAGAAUGAAUGGUUGGACGAAAUGUAAGCUUUCUUAAUUUAAAUUUAAUUUGAAUUUAUAAUUUUUGUAAAAAGACUAAAAUAUAGUUGUGGGACGAGAAGACCCUUUAGAAUUUUAAUAAAUUUAAAGAGAUAUUACUAUAGUUUUAUUAAUAAUAUCUCUUUAAAUUUAUUUUUGUUGGGGUGACAGUGGAAUUUUUUUAACUUCUAUUAAAUUUAAAUCAUGAAUUAGUGCAUAAAUGAUCCUGUAUUACGGAUUAAAAGAUUAAAUUACCUUAGGGAUAACAGCGUUAUUAUUUUGGAGAGUUCUUAUUGAUAAAAUAGUUUGCGACCUCGAUGUUGGAUUAAAGUUAGCUUUAGGUGCAGUAGUUUAUAAUGCUAGGUCUGUUCGACCUUUAAAUCUUUACAUGAUCUGAGUUCAGACCGGCGUGAGCCAGGUUGGUUUCUAUCUACAAUUCUAUUAAAUUAUAUAGUACGAAAGGACCUGUAAUUUUUAAUAUUUAAUUAAUCAAUGAUUAUUAAU
rnacentral:rRNA from 1 species